rnacentral:tRNA from 1 species
GGGCGCUUAGCUCAGUUGGUAGAGCGUCUGCCUUACAAGCAGAAUGUCGGCGGUUCGAUCCCGUCAGCGCCA